CGGAACAGUGUCAUGUCAUACCACACUGAGGCAUCUCUGUGGCCCAGCAAGAAAUAGUGAAGACAGAGGAGCAGCCUGAGAUUGCACUGGAGGAUGUGGUCUGCCUCCCCUUGGAGCGACUCCCAAGUACCUGCUUGUAGACCAACUCCUCAACUUCUCCUGUGCGCUGCCGUUAUGUGUGCUGCAAACCACUGCAUCAGCCAUCAGAUGCUGCUUGUACUUCAGCUCCUGCAGCAUAGAAGAGGCUCUGGUGUCAUGCUGCGUAAGCAAAGGGAAGGCUGAGGCAGAAGCCACCUCUGUAGGUCUCAGGAUGUAGUAAUACAAGUGCUUUCUUCAGCAGCAAAGCUGUUUAAAGAACUUUCUACUUCAGGUCACUGCCACUCUGCUGUAUCUCUGCAUCACAGUUUAUUGCAGUCUGAGGAGCCUCUGUUAAAGCAGCUUGGGUCAUGAAAAUGAUCCAGGUGAAAAAUUCCUCUUGCAAAGGCCUUGAGAGUUUGUUUCUUUUGCUUUGUUUUGACUGGAAUCAUUUCACUGUCAACUCUACUUUCUCCUUAGCACAACUGCCAGAUUUGCAAAUAGCAAUGAGUUGCUAUUAGUCAGAAACUCCUCUUCUACUGGCUUUACUACUGAUCAAAACUGUGGAUCGACUACACAACAAGUACCUCCUUAGCACACAAGGCUGAGGGGGCCAGAAGGUAUCGCUCAGCAGCAUCAUUCCAGGAACAGCAAUUUGGUGCCAGUGCAAACAGCGUUCAGCCCUUCAGCUGUGGCUGAAAUGCAAUUUCUGGCAGAAUCAUUUUAAGGAACAGGAUUUAGGGAAAAGUCUUUACUCUGCAGCCUGGUCUACAUUUUGAGAGUCUUGCAGGUCAGCACCUUAAGCGAACCUUGGAAAAACUAUUGUGUGAUCAGUCAUCGCACUGAAGCAGCAGCACCCGUUUGGUAAAGAAACCUGAGCCAGUAAACAUGAUGACUGCAUCUGUAGGUGAAUAUACAAGAAAAUAGUAAAAUUGCAUCUUAAAGUAGUCUUCUGGACAAUGACAUUUUUAUUGCCUGUUAUCUAUGUGCUUCCUGCACACUUAACACUUGAUACCCCAUUCCUUGAGCAGACAGUGCUGCUUCUCUGAACUAACUUGUGGGAAACCAAGAGAAGAACAAGGAGGCACUGAAGAUGCUAGUACAGAACAAUGGAGGCUUUUGAAAAUCACAUUUUUCCCAUAAUCACUGCAAACGUGGGAUAUACAGAUAACCAAGGAAGAACUCUCUUGGGCAUCCAGAAUUUACCCAGAAGCAAUAUCAUAAGAUUCAGCAUUCCUCUCCAUAUAGCUGAAUUUCCAGUGCUGAUGCUCUUCCUCUGAUUAUUAUAGGGAUUACACAACUACUUUUUUAUUGAACCCAUGGAAAAACUCUAUCUAUGCCUCUGUUUUCUCUUUUUCUGUGUAACUAAGCCUAUGGUUCUUAGAUCCCUGGUUGGUGGCAUUUUUAGGUGGUUUGUUAGCCACUACAUUUCCAUUUGUAUCUCCGAGCCCGUCUUCCUCCUAACUUCCCUGCCUGUUGCUGGCCAGGGAUAGGGAGUGAAGCACUAGUGCUGCACCUCUGCCGCAGGCACCCCUUCUCCCUCCCACGAUGGUCGCAUCCCGGGUGCGGAGGAGCAAAAGCAGCUGCUUAAAUCUCUCCCUUCUGCAGGCUUGACCCCCCGGUGCUGAGGGCCCAGCUGAAAGUCACAGGCGGUCCUUUUUUUCCCCAUCUUUCUAGCAGCAGUCAUUCACCUGCUUUGGUGUUUGCCUCUCGGGGAACAAGUUAGGUCACUGACCCAGCCAAAGGUGUACCUUGCUGUGGCAGGGAGCUGUUAGGCUGGACCAGUCGUCACGGUGGUGCGUAUCCUGGGAGGUGCUUGGCUCCCUGGGCACAGAGACACUGCAGGUACCUUGCCAUGCCUUCCCAGGGAGAUAUGCUCUUACCAGCUGAGAAAUGCUGGUUUGCACUAUGGGCAAAUGACUAAGAUAACAGUGGAAGCUUGCCUCAGUGGUAUUUUCCUAGUUUUUUAAAGUCAUCUUUCAUUGUCCGACAGCCUAGAAGGUUACACCUCUUCUGUCACCCUUCUCCCAUUUUGUGGAGUACUUAUUUUAAUGCUCAUCAUUUCAGGCAUCUGAUUUACGAGUGGACCAUAGGCAAUUGUUGCUGCACCACUGGGCAUGGUGGGCUAUGACACCCAGCAGGCACAAGAAGGAGAGGGUGGCUGUGACUGUGUCCUACCCAGCCUUCACCUUCAAACCAGACCUUCACCUUCAAACCAGACCUUCACCUGCUACUGCCAUCAGCUGAGCCACUGCUGGCAACUUAGGUGCUUGGAGCCCAACCACAGGCAAAAUAAAAUGUUAAGUGCUUAAAUCACUAGGAAGAUUGCAUUUUACUUGCCCUUUUUACUGGUCAAAGAGUGCACAUGUAGCAGUGCUUUUAGCCUCAACACCUUGAUCUCCUAGAGCUGUGUGACUGUAUCGUGCAUCACAUGUAAGGAGUUGCUUAUUGGACUCCAGAGGCUGCAAAAUAGUUGAUAUUGCUGCACAAAGGGUGACAACAUGAAAGGAAAUGGAAACAUUCAGGCUGAGAACAGGAAAACUCAUGAGAAUGUAAGAAACGGCCUGAAGAAAAAAGGAGACAAAAAAUGUGAUUUCCAAAACAGUAACCAGAGAUCAAAGGAGGCUGAUGUUCUUUCAAAUCACUGUUUGUGGUGGAUCUGCAGGAGAAGGUUUAAGAACAUUAUUUUGAAAGGUGCUGUGAAAAAUACAGAGUAUUGCAGAGAAGCAAUCGACCCUGUAGUUUUUUUCUUGGCUCUGUUCUUGCCGUUGCCCUCUGCAUUUCUGUGUUGGCCAUGCUGAGUUUUUCUGAGACAAAUGCCACCAUUCGCUUCACUUUAAAUUGUCUUUAAAUUGAGCAGAGAUCAAGCAGUUUUAUCCUCUGAUACAAUCAUAUGCCAUGGAAACUCUCCUUACUCAUUCUCCAAGCUGCCUUGUUUUCUGCUCUGUUGCUAGAUCUAGUUCAAUGCUUUUAAGGCUCGAACUGCACAGAUUUUCCCUUUUAGCUCUAUUCUUCAUCAUAUCCUGAUUGAUUUUAUUGAUUUUGUCCAAUUUCUGUCAAAACAAAUAAUUAGAAAUAUCAAAA